CUACGGGAGGCAGCAGUGGGGAAUAUUGCACAAUGGGGGAAACCCUGAUGCAGCAACGCCGCGUGGAGGAUGACGCAUUUCGGUGUGUAAACUCCUUUUAUAUAGAAAGAACAUGACGGUACUAUAUGAAUAAGCACCGGCUAACUCCGUGCCAGCAGCCGCGGUAAUACGGAGGGUGCAAGCGUUACUCGGAAUCACUGGGCGUAAAGGAUGCGUAGGCGGAUUCAUAAGUUGGGAGUGAAAUCCUAUGGCUCAACCAUAGAACUGCUUUCAAAACUGUUAGUCUAGAAUGUGGGAGAGGUAGAUGGAAUUAGUGGUGUAGGGGUAAAAUCCGUAGAGAUCACUAGGAAUACCGAUUGCGAAGGCGAUCUACUGGAACACUAUUGACGCUGAGGCAUGAAAGCGUGGGGAGCAAACAGGAUUAGAUACCCCGGUAGUC
rnacentral:rRNA from 1 species